AUAUAUAUUGGUUCAAAGCAAUCUCAUGUAUAUCCCUCAUUUUUAUUAAUUUGUUUGACUAAACAUUCAUGUUGGGCAGAGCUAAAUGGGUCUAGAUUUUGGAUUUUGAGAAAUAUUAGACUUGGUUAUCUCGCCUAAAAAUGUCGCACCAAUUACCAUUGUUUGAAUUCCUUGGUCGCCGGUGCUGAAGCUCUUCUCCCACGGUGAGAUUCCACUCGAUCCUUCGACGAUCUCAACCAACCACUUUGCCGACUUCAUCUUGUUUCCCGCAGUCAAUUUCCUAGGGCUUUCGGUUCACAUGGCUCCCAAGAGGAAACAUCCCCCAAAUAGUUCAGACACAGGUCCCAGGGAGAAACAGGAGCAAUCCACUUUGAGAUGAACCUGAUAAAAUGGUGGAAGAGCUUGGAUUUGGCUGCCUCCUCAAAUAUAAAUGCAGAAGAUCGCAGAUUGGUAUGGCCUUUUUGGAUGAUCGACAAGUUUGAUAUUCGUGAGCAUGCAUUUAUUAUAGAUGGGAUAGAGGUGAAGUUUAAUCCUAAAAUGGUGGAGAUCCUCGUUGGUUUUUGAGGUGGAGAAGUGGAAGUGGACAGUAAAGACCUAAAGGAAGAUGUUACAGUAGAUGAGCGAUUGAAUUCCCUCUGUGAAAUGACUUACAUUCAGAUGGAAAUAAGACUUUCAACCCUGAUCUUGUCCUAAAAAAAGACGUGUGUAAGCGAGGUAAAAAAUAUAUAUUUAUAUCU